AGGUCACCUGUCUUACCGCCCUUCCUCUCUCCUAAAGCGGGUGUCGCAGGUUCGAAUCCUGCCGGGG
rnacentral:tRNA from 1 species